CGCUCCUGUCCACAAAGUUACCAAGAUUGGCUUCCCUUCCACUACACCAGCCAAAGCCAAGGCCAACGCAGUGAGGCGAGUGAUGGCGACCACGUCCGCCAGCCUGAAGCGCAGCCCUUCUGCCUCUUCCCUCAGCUCCAUGAGCUCAGUGGCCUCCUCUGUGAGCAGCAGGCCCAUUGACUGAAACCUCCUCCCGUUACGCCAGGAAGAUCUCCGGUACCACUGCCCUCCAGGAGGCCCUGAAGGAGAAGCAGCAGCACAUUGAGCAGCUGCUGGCGGAACGGGAUCUGGAGAGGGCGGAGGUGGCCAAGGCCACGAGCCACGUGGGGGAGAUAGAGCAGGAGCUAGCUCUGGCCCGGGACGGACAUGACCAGCAUGUCCUGGAAUUGGAAGCCAAAAUGGACCAGCUGCGAACAAUGGUGGAAGCUGCUGACAGGGAGAAGGUGGAGCUUCUCAACCAGCUUGAAGAGGAGAAAAGGUUGAGGACCUUCAGUUCCGGGUUGAAGAAGAAUCAAUUACCAAAGGUGAUCUUGAGACGCAGACCAAACUGGAGCAUGCCCGCAUUAAGGAGCUUGAACAGAGCCUGCUCUUUGAAAAGACCAAAGCUGACAAACUCCAGAGGGAGUUAGAAGACACUAGGGUGGCUACAGUUUCAGAAAAGUCACGUAUAAUGGAACUGGAGAAAGACCUAGCAUUGAGAGUACAGGAAGUAGCUGAGCUCCGAAGAAGGCUAGAGUCCAAUAAGCCUGCUGGGGAUGUGGACAUGUCACUUUCCCUUUUGCAAGAGAUAAGCUCUUUGCAAGAAAAGUUAGAAGUCACCCGUACUGACCACCAGAGAGAAAUAACUUCUCUGAAGGAGCAUUUUGGAGCCCGGGAAGAAACUCAUCAGAAGGAGAUAAAGGCUCUGUAUACCGCCACGGAAAAGCUUUCCAAAGAGAACGAGUCAUUGAAAAGCAAGCUGGAGCAUGCCAACAAAGAGAACUCAGAUGUGAUAGCUCUAUGGAAGUCCAAACUGGAGACUGCCAUCGCAUCCCACCAGCAGGCGAUGGAAGAACUGAAGGUAUCUUUCAGCAAAGGGCUUGGAACAGAGACGGCAGAAUUUGC
rnacentral:lncRNA from 1 species